rnacentral:rRNA from 1 species
CGCAGCCGCGGUAAUUCCAGCUCCAAUAGCGUAUAUUAAAGUUGUUGCAGUUAAAAAGCUCGUAGUUGAAUUUUGGAUUCUUCCAAUUGGUCCAUCUUUUAGAUGAGUACUGGUUGUGUGGGGUCUAUCCGCCUGGUGAUACGUAAUGUCCUUUAUUGGAUGUUUCGGGUAGUCAGGACCUUUACCUUGAAAAAAUUAGAGUGUUUAAAGCAGGCUUAUGCCGGAAUACAUUAGCAUGGAAUAAUAGAAUAGGACGAAGUUGUUUUAUUUUGUUGGUUUCUAGGACAACCGUAAUGAUUAAUAGGGAUAGUUGGGGGCAUUAGUAUUCAAUUGUCAGAGGUGAAAUUCUUGGAUUUAUUGAAGACUAACUACUGCGAAAGCAUUUGCCAAGGAUGUUUCAUUAAUCAAGAACGAAAGUUAGGGGAUCGAAGACGAUCAGAUACCGUCGUAGUCUUAACCAUAAACUAUGCCGACUAGGGAUCGGAUGAUGUUUAUUUUUAGUGUACUCAUUCGGCUACCU